UAGGGAAUAUUGCACAAUGGGCGAAAGCCUGAUGCAGCAACGCCGCGUGUGCGAUGAAGGCCUUCGGGUCGUAAAGCACUUUUCUGAGAGAUGAGAAAGGACAGUAUCUCAGGAAUAAGUCUCGGCUAACUACGUGCCAGCAGCCGCGGUAAAACGUAGGAGGCAAGCGUUAUCCGGAUUCACUGGGUGUAAAGCGCGUGCAGGCGGUUCGGUAAGUUGGGCGUGAAAUCUCCUGGCUCAACUAGGAGAGGUCGUUCAAUACUACCGGGCUAGAGAGCGGUAGAGGAAGAUGGAAUUCCCGGUGUAGUGGUGAAAUGCGUAGAUAUCGGGAGGAACACCAGUGGCGAAGGCGAUCUUCUGGACCGUUCCUGACGCUCAGACGCGACAGCUAGGGUAGCAAACGG
rnacentral:rRNA from 1 species